rnacentral:tRNA from 1 species
GCCGGUGUAGCUCAGUAGGUAGAGCAGCGCAUUCGUAAUGCGCUGGUAAAGGUUUCGCCGUUG